GCAAAACUCAAAAAAAUAGAUCUCAGUUCGGACUGUAGGCUGCAACUCGCCUACACGAAGUUGGAAUUGCUAGUAAUCGUGGAUCAGCAUGCCACGGUGAAUACGUUCCCGGGUCUUGUACACACCGCCCGUCACACCAUGGGAGCUGGUAACACCCGAAGUCAGUAGUCUAACCGCAAGGAGGACGCUGCCGAAGGUGGGAUUAGCGACUGGGGUGAAGUCGUAACAAGGUAAC
rnacentral:rRNA from 1 species